AAUUUGUUUCUUCCUAUCCUCCUAUUCUCCUAUCUUCCGUAUUCUCUCUCAUUUUUUUUCUGUCUAUCUUGUUCAUCCUAGCACAAAAUCACCCCAUAAAAAAAAUCUUUCACAACCACCGUCACCAUAACCUCCGACGCCGCCAUCUCUAUCUCCUCGUUCUGUACCUCCAUCCGUCGCUGCCACCAUCAUCUUCAUCUCCACCUCCUCGUUCUCUACCUCCGCCAAUAAAUUCUGUCUAAACCACUCCUUUUAUCUAUCCUCCUAUAAAAGCUUCUUCUUUUCCAGAUGCAUAUUCAUGGUCUUAGUUAACACCAACCGUAUCUCAGGGACAGGGAAGAGGAAGUGGAAUUGAUAAUGGGGCUGGUGGUUGUUCUUGUUCUCGUAGUGUCACAACAUUGAUGGAAGAAGCCAGAUAUGAAGAAGCUGUGCU